GAUUAAGUUAUUAAGGGCGCACGGUGGAUGCCUUGGCACUAGAAGCCGAUGAAGGACGUUACUAACGACGAUAUGCUUUGGGGAGCUGUAAGUAAGCUUUGAUCCAGAGAUUUCCGAAUGGGGAAACCCAGCAUGAGUUAUGUCAUGUUAUCGAUAUGUGAAUACAUAGCAUAUCAGAAGGCACACCCGGAGAACUGAAACAUCUUAGUACCCGGAGGAAGAGAAAGAAAAUUCGAUUCCCUUAGUAGCGGCGAGCGAAACGGGAAGAGCCCAAACCAACAAGCUUGCUUGUUGGGGUUGUAGGACACUCUAUACGGAGUUACAAAGGACGACAUUAGACGAAUCAUCUGGAAAGAUGAAUCAAAGAAGGUAAUAAUCCUGUAGUCGAAAAUGUUGUCUCUCUUGAGUGGAUCCUGAGUACGACGGAGCACGUGAAAUUCCGUCGGAAUCUGGGAGGACCAUCUCCUAAGGCUAAAUACUCUCUAGUGACCGAUAGUGAACCAGUACCGUGAGGGAAAGGUGAAAAGCACCCCGGAAGGGGAGUGAAAUAGAACCUGAAACCGUGUGCUUACAAGUAGUCAGAGCCCGUUAAUGGGUGAUGGCGUGCCUUUUGUAGAAUGAACCGGCGAGUUACGAUUUGAUGCAAGGUUAAGCAGUAAAUGUGGAGCCGUAGCGAAAGCGAGUCUGAAUAGGGCGUUUAGUAUUUGGUCGUAGACCCGAAACCAGGUGAUCUACCCUUGGUCAGGUUGAAGUUCAGGUAACACUGAAUGGAGGACCGAACCGACUUACGUUGAAAAGUGAGCGGAUGAACUGAGGGUAGCGGAGAAAUUCCAAUCGAACCUGGAGAUAGCUGGUUCUCUCCGAAAUAGCUUUAGGGCUAGCCUCAAGUGAUGAUUAUUGGAGGUAGAGCACUGUUUGGACGAGGGGCCCCUCUCGGGUUACCGAAUUCAGACAAACUCCGAAUGCCAAUUAAUUUAACUUGGGAGUCAGAACAUGGGUGAUAAGGUCCAUGUUCGAAAGGGAAACAGCCCAGACCACCAGCUAAGGUCCCAAAAUAUAUGUUAAGUGGAAAAGGAUGUGGCGUUGCCCAGACAACUAGGAUGUUGGCUUAGAAGCAGCCAUCAUUUAAAGAGUGCGUAAUAGCUCACUAGUCGAGUGACACUGCGCCGAAAAUGUACCGGGGCUAAACAUAUUACCGAAGCUGUGGAUUGUCCUUUGGACAAUGGUAGGAGAGCGUUCUAAGGGCGUUGAAGCAUGAUCGUAAGGACAUGUGGAGCGCUUAGAAGUGAGAAUGCCGGUGUGAGUAGCGAAAGACGGGUGAGAAUCCCGUCCACCGAUUGACUAAGGUUUCCAGAGGAAGGCUCGUCCGCUCUGGGUUAGUCGGGUCCUAAGCUGAGGCCGACAGGCGUAGGCGAUGGAUAACAGGUUGACAUUCCUGUACCACCUAUAAUCGUUUUAAUCGAUGGGGGGACGCAGUAGGAUAGGCGAAGCGUGCGAUUGGAUUGCACGUCUAAGCAGUAAGGCUGAGUAUUAGGCAAAUCCGGUACUCGUUAAGGCUGAGCUGUGAUGGGGAGAAGACAUUGUGUCUUCGAGUCGUUGAUUUCACACUGCCGAGAAAAGCCUCUAGAUAGAAAAUAGGUGCCCGUACCGCAAACCGACACAGGUAGUCAAGAUGAGAAUUCUAAGGUGAGCGAGCGAACUCUCGUUAAGGAACUCGGCAAAAUGACCCCGUAACUUCGGGAGAAGGGGUGCUCUUUAGGGUUAACGCCCAGAAGAGCCGCAGUGAAUAGGCCCAAGCGACUGUUUAUCAAAAACACAGGUCUCUGCUAAACCGUAAGGUGAUGUAUAGGGGCUGACGCCUGCCCGGUGCUGGAAGGUUAAGAGGAGUGGUUAGCUUCUGCGAAGCUACGAAUCGAAGCCCCAGUAAACGGCGGCCGUAACUAUAACGGUCCUAAGGUAGCGAAAUUCCUUGUCGGGUAAGUUCCGACCCGCACGAAAGGCGUAACGAUUUGGGCACUGUCUCAACGAGAGACUCGGUGAAAUCAUAGUACCUGUGAAGAUGCAGGUUACCCGCGACAGGACGGAAAGACCCCGUGGAGCUUUACUGUAGCCUGAUAUUGAAAUUCGGCACAGCUUGUACAGGAUAGGUAGGAGCCUUUGAAACGUGAGCGCUAGCUUACGUGGAGGCGCUGGUGGGAUACUACCCUAGCUGUGUUGGCUUUCUAACCCGCACCACUUAUCGUGGUGGGAGACAGUGUCAGGCGGGCAGUUUGACUGGGGCGGUCGCCUCCUAAAAGGUAACGGAGGCGCUCAAAGGUUUCCUCAGAAUGGUUGGAAAUCAUUCAUAGAGUGUAAAGGCAUAAGGGAGCUUGACUGCGAGACCUACAAGUCGAGCAGGGUCGAAAGACGGACUUAGUGAUCCGGUGGUUCCGCAUGGAAGGGCCAUCGCUCAACGGAUAAAAGCUACCCCGGGGAUAACAGGCUUAUCUCCCCCAAGAGUUCACAUCGACGGGGAGGUUUGGCACCUCGAUGUCGGCUCAUCGCAUCCUGGGGCUGUAGUCGGUCCCAAGGGUUGGGCUGUUCGCCCAUUAAAGCGGUACGCGAGCUGGGUUCAGAACGUCGUGAGACAGUUCGGUCCCUAUCCGUCGUGGGCGUAGGAAAUUUGAGAGGAGCUGUCCUUAGUACGAGAGGACCGGGAUGGACAUACCUCUGGUGUACCAGUUGUCGUGCCAACGGCAUAGCUGGGUAGCUAUGUGUGGACGGGAUAAGUGCUGAAAGCAUCUAAGCAUGAAGCCCCCCUCAAGAUGAGAUUUCCCAACUUCGGUUAUAAGAUCCCUCAAAGAUGAUGAGGUUAAUAGGUUCGAGGUGGAAGCAUGGUGACAUGUGGAGCUGACGAAUACUAAUCGAUCGAAGACUUAAUCAA
rnacentral:rRNA from 1 species